UAGCAUUUGGAUUGGGGAUAAGGGAUAUAUGGAAUAACUCCUUAUUCCCUUUAUGCCUAAACACUAAUUUUUUAUUCGAGAACAGUAAUUUUUAAUUACCUAAAAUAAUUUGGUAUAACUAUUUCCACUAACAUCUUUAUUUUCUAUAUAUAACUACCCAUUAUUUUUUUUAUUCCAUGUUAUCUAUCCAAACUCUACUUUUUUUAUUUCCGAAAAUAACCCAAUUUUCAUUCAAAUGCUAUUUUUCUUACUUAUGUCCGAACAAAAUGCUUUAGUCAAUAAGUUAUCAACAUAAAAACUGAAAAUAUUAUUUAUUUUGAUUUAAGUACUUCCUCGCGGAGCUUGUCUUACUGCAGAAAUUUAAUGGUUGUUGGACGCAGAAUUGAAAGCUUGUCAAAAGAGAUGUUCAGUAGAUGUAACUCCUGCAUCUGAAAAUAAUCAAUUUCUGCGUAUAACGAAAGUUAGUAUAUUUGAAGAGAUCGAGGGUAUGUUACUUAAUCGCGCAGGAAUGGUGUACUAUAUUNAAGCGAGCCAAAUAUCGAGUCGAACGCGAGUCGAACGCAAGCCGGCUGGCUCAUUUGCCAGCCCUAGCAGUUAUUGAGGAAUAAUAUAUAGUUAUAGAUUCUAAUAAAUAUCUUUCAUAUAUAUAUAUAUAUAUAUAUAUAUAUAUAUAGGGGGAGAGAGAGAAAACUAGACUGAAAUAUUAUCAAUAGUAUCAAGCUAUUGGUACUAUUAGAUUUUUGGCUCUUGGAUGAAAAAAUGUACGGUUAGAAUGAUAUGAGCCCCUAGGAUUGAGUGAGUUAUUGAUUAAUAAUAUAAUCUAAUAGAUGAAAAUAGUCAAAACGGACCGACUGUCCCUAACGCAAGUAGCAAAAGGGCUUGAUAGUUGGUAUCCGAGACCCAAAUUCGAAUCCUAGUUGAUUCACAUUUCCAGCUAAGUUUAUUUCUAAAUGAAAUAAAUAAAGCGUGUAGCAUGCUACCUUUCUCUCAAAAAAAAAGAAAAAGAAAAUAGUCAAAACGGUGGAAAACUCGAUAGCACGCUUGGUACUAUCGAUAGUAUCCCAGACACGCUAUAUAUAUAUAUAAGCUGAAUUGAAAUACUAUUACUAAUUUUUGAGCUAUUUUUUUAUCGAGUUUUUAACUAUUAGAUCUACACUUUAAUCAAUUCUAUCUUUUAGAUCAGACUAUUCAACCAACUAUCCGUUCAACCCUAAAAGGACCACCACUAAACCCUAGGGAUGAUCACUAUCAUUCUAAACCUGCAAUUUUUUAUUCAAGAAUUAAAAACGCGAUAGCAAAUUAUUUUAAAUAUUAUUAAUAGUAUUUCAACCAAAUUCUAUAUAUAUAAAGAGAGAGAGAGAGAGAGAGAGAGAGAACAAAGCUGGAAUACUAUCAAUAGCGUCAAGUUGUUGGUGCUAUUAGUUUUUUAGCUCUUUGAUUAAGAAAUGUGCGGUUAAAAUGAUAUGGACCCUCUAGGGUUCAGUGGGUGGUUGGUUGAAUAGUACAAUCUAACGGAUAAAAAUAAUCAAAGGGAUUAAUCUAACAGUAGAAAACUUGGUAGCAUCAAAUGCUUCGUGCUAUUAAUCGUAUAGUAGCCGGACUCUCUCUCUCUCUCUCUCUCUCUCUCUCUCUCU
rnacentral:lncRNA from 1 species